UACAGAGGGGGCAAGCGUUGCUCGGAAUCACUGGGCGUAAAGCGCACGUAGGCGGAUCGAUCAGUCAGGGGUGAAAUCCCAGGGCUCAACCCUGGAACUGCCUUUGAUACUGUCGAUCUGGAGUAUGGAAGAGGUGAGUGGAAUUCCGAGUGUAGAGGUGAAAUUCGUAGAUAUUCGGAGGAACACCAGUGGCGAAGGCGGCUCACUGGUCCAUUACUGACGCUGAGGUGCGAAAGCGUGGGGAGCAAACAGG
rnacentral:rRNA from 1 species